CACGUAGGGGGCAAGCGUUGUCCGGAUUUAUUGGGCGUAAAGAGCUCGUAGGCGGCUCGGUAAGUCGGGUGUGAAAACUCAGGGCUCAACCCUGAGACGCCACCCGAUACUGCUGUGGCUAGAGUCCGGUAGGGGAGCGUGGAAUUCCUGGUGUAGCGGUGAAAUGCGCAGAUAUCAGGAGGAACACCAGCGGCGAAGGCGGCGCUCUGGGCCGGAACUGACGCUGAGGA
rnacentral:rRNA from 1 species